rnacentral:rRNA from 1 species
UACGUAGGGGGCUAGCGUUGUCCGGAAUCAUUGGGCGUAAAGCGCGUGUAGGCGGUCCGGUAAGUCCGCUGUGAAAGUCGGGGGCUCAACCCUCGGAUGCCGGUGGAUACUGUCGGGCUUGAGUACGGAAGAGGCGAGUGGAAUUCCUGGUGUAGCGGUGAAAUGCGCAGAUAUCGGGAGGAACACCGGUGGCGAAGGCGGUUCUCUGGGCCUUACCUGGACGCUGAGGAGCGAAAGCGUGGGGAGC